rnacentral:lncRNA from 10 species
ACCCGCCUCUCUGCGCCCCUCUCCGCCCCGCCUCCCUCCUAGGUGAAGGAAGAUGAUUUCCCCCCCAUCUUGACCACCCCCCAGUCUUCGCCGCCAAAAACGGACUCCGCCGGCUAUCCUCGGCCCGGUACCAGUUGUUGGAUCCAAGAGAAUUCCGGAACCCAAACGGUCCAUUACCGCGGCUCUGGGGUGGGCGAGGGGUGAGGGGGCCGGGUUUCCGCGAAGGGGGAGGGGGAAGGCGAAGGCCACCUAGGAGAGUCACGUGACUACUGUUUCCGCCGGCGCUCACGGAGAGCUCGCGGUAAUUCCGUUUCCCCGCCCUUUUUUCCCCGCGGCCUGUCGGGAAGAAGGUCCGCGUGCCAGGGCUAUCGGGAGGUCGGCCGGAGGGCCGCGCGCAUGCGCCCCGCGCCUGCUUUCAAACUCCGGUUAGGAAGGGCCUGGAGCUAUUUUCAGAACCUGUUAGGGUGGGGAGCUACGGCCCAGGAAGUUACCUAGCAGCGUUUCUGUCACUUGGAAGAUCUCUUCAUUACCUAGUUAGUCCUAGAAACAAAAUGUUUACAUAUUCAUUGCUUGUUAGGCUCGCUCAAAGCACUUUAUUGGCAGUGAAACCGCAAGUAACCCGGAGCCCUCGGCGCGACCACGGCUAGAAUCAGAGCCUAAGGCGUGUGAGCUCAGCCAUCCCACGUCUGUCUUCACGCUCAUACGCAAGCCCGACACACCGGGGCUCCCACUUAAUGAAUACUGAAGAGUAGGGCUGUCCCUACCGCUUCUCACUUCCUUGUUUUCAUCUUUUCGUUAUUAUUAAGCGACCUAACACAAUAAACAUAUUACCUUGUUGGUAA